CGUCAUUCAUAGUAAUAAAGAAAACAGUUAAAAUAAAGGUUGAUAGCUAAGAUUCUAGGGAAUUAAGAUUUAAGGAAUACAGUAAUCCAGAAUUCAGAGGAUAUUAAAACUUAAAGUACUAAAGAAUUCAAAAAUACAGAAACUGGAAAUGUUCAGAUGAUAUUAGAGGGCAUAUAACUUCCUAAGGAACUAAACAGUUGCAUCUCCAUUAUCCUCCAAGGCGUUCUCCACAGAGACUUCAUUCUCCUCUGCUCACAUCCAAGUGGAUGAUCAUUGCAAAAGAAAAACAUACAACAUGGCACAAACACAAGCAAAUGCAAGGAUGAGCUGAUUAUAUAAAAAGUGCCUUGGAGCAUGGAAGCCUCCGAGACUAAGACCUCCUGCUACUCCUUACCACAUGAUCCAAUCCUCUCUAUGUGAGAAGAAAGGCCAUUGGAGCGUAAGGAAAACCUCCAAGGCUGAGCUCCUACUUUCAUUCUAAAACACUAAGAAUCUCACCGAGAGAUUCCAUCCAGAUGAAACUUAGUUUGUUACUUGGAUCGUACUUUCAUCACUUUGUAAUCAUAUACUUUUUGCCAAAAUAAACAUAUAUAUAAUCUCAACCAUACCUUACUCACCAAUCACAAAUUAUAAAAAUAAUUACUCCCUAAUUUAAUCUAAGUUAAUCAAUACUAUAAUCUUUUACAAUUUAUUACCAAUGCCUAAACCCUGUAUAGAUAUAAAACCAUGUUCCUUCAGUUAUAUUAUAAUAGUUAUAUUAAACCAUACUUCUAUUAUAAAUUUUCUAUUAGACCAUUGCACAAAUAUUUUUAAUUUAUAUUAAACCAACAUUCAUAUUAUAAUAUUAUAAUAUUAUAUUAUAACAAACCUAUUAUUAUAUAUAAAACUAUAUUAUAUUAAUAAAAUAUAAUAACAUACAUAUACUGCUAUAUAAUAUUAGUAUAAUUUAUAUGUGUUACGUAACUAUAUUUUAUAAAUACCUAUAUAUUAAUAUUAUGUUACACUAUAUAUAAUAUGCUACAUAUAUAUAUUAUACAUAUAUAUUAAUAUAAUAUAUUAAUGAUAUAUAUAGAUAUAUCAUGAUACCUCAAAAUAACUUAUAAUACUUCCUUUUUUUUUUCCAAUCCAACACAACUUAAAUUCCUUGUUGAUUAUAUAACUAGCCUAUUAUUUUAAGUUCCUUGAUUCCCAAAGUUAUACAUCCUCUCUCAGAGGCUACACUCAACCCAUUUUUUCCAUCAAAUCAGUAUCACCCCCAACUUAUUCCAGCAACCAGAUUUUUCAAAUUCUUUCGCAGCACAUCACAAUCAAUAUAUAAACAGUAAUCAUUCCCAGGAUCAUCAUUCUAGUCAAAUUCAGUGCAUACUAAGUUAAACACUUAAGGACAGUAACAACACAUGCUCACAAGAUAUCACAUAUUUAAUUCAACAUGCAUAAUCACUCAAAACAGAUUCAUCAGUUCUUACCAAACGGGAUGUGUAGAACCAAAAUACAGUUUAAAUUCACAUAGCAAUUCAGAUUUCUCAAACAGUCACUUCGCAACAAAUAAAAUAAAAGUAUAAGUAGCUCCCCUUACCUGGUACCACGCUACACUACAGCUAAAUGGAGACUUCCUAACAGUGCCCUCACAGGACAAAACUUCAACAGCACCUAUAAAUCACCAAAUUGGUGAUAGAGACAACCUUUUAGAGCUAUAACAUACGGAGAAGGGAAAACAAAGUACAAAAAGCACAUGCAACCAGAAAAAUUGGGUGCCCUAGGUCAAGACAGUGAAGAGAAAGGGGAAAAUUUACUUACCCGAUGAAAUGAAGAAAUUGUUCGGUAGGAAUCGAAGCUCUCCGCGCCAGGAAUGAUUUUGCAGCAACAAAACAGAGAUUCAAGAGUUCAAUCUGCUAGAAUUUUAGAGAGAAGGCAGAGCAUUUGAGUUUGGGCAAGGUUUCUGUUCUAGAGAGAGAAAGGAAUUUGCAGAAUGGAAAUCUAACUUCUGAAAAGAAAAGGCCUUCCCUUCUAAGGCUGAAGCUCCCCUAAGUUAUGGGCCUGACUGCCUAUUUAGACCCAAUGGCCCUUAUUAUUAUUAUUAUUAUUAUUUUGGCCUUUACACUCAGAGUCAUAAACUUGCAUUUAAAUGUGUCCUUCUUCCUACAAAUUCUUUUUAUUAUUGUUUCUGUUGACAAACUGAUUCAAACGAUUUCCAAAAAAAAAAAAAACAAAAAAACCUAAGGAUGUAUACCGUACAUCUUUCCAUUAUCCUUAACAAUAUUUCUC
rnacentral:lncRNA from 1 species